rnacentral:rRNA from 1 species
GGGUUGUGAGGUUAAGCGACUAAGCGUACACGGUGGAUGCCCUGGCAGUCAGAGGCGAUGAAGGACGUGCUAAUCUGCGAUAAGCGUCGGUAAGGUGAUAUGAACCGUUAUAACCGGCGAUUUCCGAAUGGGGAAACCCAGUGUGAUUCGUCACACUAUCAUUAACUGAAUCCAUAGGUUAAUGAGGCGAACCGGGGGAACUGAAACAUCUAAGUACCCCGAGGAAAAGAAAUCAACCGAGAUUCCCCCAGUAGCGGCGAGCGAACGGGGAGCAGCCCAGAGCCUGAAUCAGUGUGUGUGUUAGUGGAAGCGUCUGGAAAGGCGUGCGAUACAGGGUGACAGCCCCGUACACAAAAAUGCACAUGCUGUGAGCUCGAUGAGUAGGGCGGGACACGUGGUAUCCUGUCUGAAUAUGGGGGGACCAUCCUCCAAGGCUAAAUACUCCUGACUGACCGAUAGUGAACCAGUACCGUGAGGGAAAGGCGAAAAGAACCCCGGCGAGGGGAGUGAAAAAGAACCUGAAACCGUGUACGUACAAGCAGUGGGAGCACGCUUAGGCGUGUGACUGCGUACCUUUUGUAUAAUGGGUCAGCGACUUAUAUUCUGUAGCAAGGUUAACCGAAUAGGGGAGCCGAAGGGAAACCGAGUCUUAACUGGGCGUUAAGUUGCAGGGUAUAGACCCGAAACCCGGUGAUCUAGCCAUGGGCAGGUUGAAGGUUGGGUAACACUAACUGGAGGACCGAACCGACUAAUGUUGAAAAAUUAGCGGAUGACUUGUGGCUGGGGGUGAAAGGCCAAUCAAACCGGGAGAUAGCUGGUUCUCCCCGAAAGCUAUUUAGGUAGCGCCUCGUGAAUUCAUCUCCGGGGGUAGAGCACUGUUUCGGCAAGGGGGUCAUCCCGACUUACCAACCCGAUGCAAACUGCGAAUACCGGAGAAUGUUAUCACGGGAGACACACGGCGGGUGCUAACGUCCGUCGUGAAGAGGGAAACAACCCAGACCGCCAGCUAAGGUCCCAAAGUCAUGGUUAAGUGGGAAACGAUGUGGGAAGGCCCAGACAGCCAGGAUGUUGGCUUAGAAGCAGCCAUCAUUUAAAGAAAGCGUAAUAGCUCACUGGUCGAGUCGGCCUGCGCGGAAGAUGUAACGGGGCUAAACCAUGCACCGAAGCUGCGGCAGCGACGCUGAUGCGUUGUUGGGUAGGGGAGCGUUCUGUAAGCCUGCGAAGGUGUGCUGUGAGGCAUGCUGGAGGUAUCAGAAGUGCGAAUGCUGACAUAAGUAACGAUAAAGCGGGUGAAAAGCCCGCUCGCCGGAAGACCAAGGGUUCCUGUCCAACGUUAAUCGGGGCAGGGUGAGUCGACCCCUAAGGCGAGGCCGAAAGGCGUAGUCGAUGGGAAACAGGUUAAUAUUCCUGUACUUGGUGUUACUGCGAAGGGGGGACGGAGAAGGCUAUGUUGGCCGGGCGACGGUUGUCCCGGUUUAAGCGUGUAGGCUGGUUUUCCAGGCAAAUCCGGAAAAUCAAGGCUGAGGCGUGAUGACGAGGCACUACGGUGCUGAAGCAACAAAUGCCCUGCUUCCAGGAAAAGCCUCUAAGCAUCAGGUAACAUCAAAUCGUACCCCAAACCGACACAGG